rnacentral:rRNA from 1 species
AACCAAGAAAUUUAGUCAUUCUUUUAUGGUAAAAAGACAGUUAGGCAAGAAGAUAAAAAGGACUAUAGGACCUAUAGUAUAGGAGUAAAAUCUAGAUACUAAUAGUUAUACCGGCUGUGGUUUAUUAAGGUGCUGAGUCUGUGAUAGCUUUAAGGGAAACUGGGAUUGGAUACCCCAUUAUUUUUAGUUGUAAAUUUAGUUUAGGCUUACCAGAGUACUACGAAUGAAAAAGUUUAAAACUCAAAGGGCUUGGCGGUGUUUUAGACCUCUCAGGGGAACCUGUCUCGUAAUCGACAAUCCACGUUAUACCUGACCUUUUAUAGCGAUACAGCCUGUAUACCGUCGUCGUCAGGUAACUUCUUAAAAUAUAGUAGUUAGCUCGAGAGUUAGAUUAGUUAAAACGUCAGAUCAAGGUGCAGCUAAUAAAAAGGUGAGGAUGGGUUACAAUUAUAUAUUUAUAAAUACGGAGAAAUACUUGAAAUGAAGUAUCUUAAAGGAGGACUUGAAAGUAAUUCUAAUAAUAUAAAUAGGAUGAAUAGGGCUCUGAAACGUGC